UGUGGUGUAGCUCAGUGGAAGAGCAGUUUACGGAGCUGGGCUAGCAGCACGGAAAACAGGUCGUUGGUUCAAGUCCAACCACUACAU
rnacentral:tRNA from 2 species